UAGAGUUUGAUCAUGGCUCAGGACGAACGCUGGCGGCGUGGAUUAGGCAUGCAAGUCGGACGGUAGGGCUUUAUCGUAAGAUAGAGUUUGAGAGUGGCGAACGGGUGAGUAACACGUAGGAAUCUACCCUUAAGACGGGGACAACCCAGGGAAACUUGGGCUAAUACCGGAUGAGAGUGCGAGAGAUUGCAUUUAAAAGGAUGGCGAAAGUUGUCGCUUAGGGAUGAGCCUGCGGUCUAUUAGUUAGUUGGUGGGGUAAGAGCUCACCAAGGCGAUGAUAGAUAGGCGGCCUUAACGGGUGGUCGCCCACACUGGGAUUGAGAUACGGCCCAGACUCCUACGGGAGGCAGCAGUCGAGAAUAGUCUACAAUGGCCGGAAGGCUGAUAGUGCGACGCCGCGUGAACGAGGGAGCCCUUCGGGGUGUAAAGUUCUUUUCUAUACGAGCAGUGCUAUAUAUAUGGAUAGUAUAUAUAGAGGGAUAGUAGUAUAGGAAUAAGCAACGGCUAACUCCGUGCCAGCCGCCGCGGUAAUACA
rnacentral:rRNA from 1 species